CCGUGCUAGACGGGGAGUUGGCGGUGCCCUGUAACCCGCAAUCCGCCAUAGCGGGGUUGAAUUCCUGCCUGAGGUUCGAUCAUGUAAGGUCUGACUUGUGAAAAUAGUGUUGAAAAACUUGGUCCUACGCAAUGGUACCUAUGAACCUGGUCAGGUCCGGAAGGAAGCAGCCAUAAGUAGUCACUACUAUGUGCCGUGGGGCAGCCUAGUUUGAGCUAGCUUUUACAAGUAACGCUUGGUUGUUCCAAUCAAAAGCAGGUGCACGG
rnacentral:SRP_RNA from 1 species